GCGUUCGUAGCUCAAUGGAUAGAGCAUCAGACUUCGGAUCUGAGGGUUAGGGGUUCGAGUCCCUUCGAGCGUACCA
rnacentral:tRNA from 1 species